rnacentral:tRNA from 3 species
CGGACGUAGCCAAGUGGAUUAAGGCAGUGGAUUUGU